rnacentral:rRNA from 1 species
CCUACCAAGGUGAUGAUACGUAGCCGAACUGAGAGGUUGAUCGGCCACAUUGGGACUGAGACACGGCCCAAACUCCUACGGGAGGCAGCGGUAGGGAAUCUUCCACAAUGGACGAAAGUCUGAUGGAGCAACGCCGCGUGAAUGAAGAAGGCCUUCGGGUCGUAAAAUUCUGUUGUCAGAGAAGAAUGUGCGUGAGAGUAACUGUUCACGUAUUGACGGUAUCUGACCAGAAAGCCACGGCUAACUACGUGCCAGCAGCCGCGGUAAUACGUAGGUGGCAAGCGUUGUCCGGAUUUAUUGGGCGUAAAGGGAACGCAGGCGGUCUUUUAAGUCUGAUGUGAAAGCCUUCGGCUUAACCGAAGUAGUGCAUUGGAAACUGGAAGACUUGAGUGCAGAAGAGGAGAGUGGAACUCCAUGUGUAGCGGUGAAAUGCGUAGAUAUAUGGAAGAACACCAGUGGCGAAAGCGGCUCUCUGGUCUGUAACUGACGCUGAGGUUCGAAAGCGUGGGUAGCAAACAGGAUUAGAUACCCUGGUAGUCCACGCCGUAAACGAUGAGUGCUAAGUGUUGGAGGGCUUCCGCCCUUCAGUGCUCCAGCUAACGCAUUAAGCACUCCGCCUGGGGAGUACGGUCGCAAGACUGAAACUCAAAGGAAUUGACGGGGGCCCGCACAAGCGGUGGAGCAUGUGGUUUAAUUCGAAGCAACGCGAAGAACCUUACCAGGUCUUGACAUCUUCUGACAAUUCCAGAGAUGGAACGUUCCCUUCGGGGACAGAAUGACAGGUGGUGCAUGGUUGUCGUCAGCUCGUGUCGCGAGAUGUUGGGUUAAGUCCCGCAACGAGCGCAACCCUUAUUGUCAGUUGCCAUCAUUAAGUUGGGCACUCUGGCGAGACUGCCGGUGACAAACCGGAGGAAGGUGGGGAUGACGUCAAAUCAUCAUGCCCCUUAUGACCUGGGCUACACACGUGCUACAAUGGACGGUACAACGAGUCGCUAACUCGCGAGGGCAAGCUAAUCUCUUAAAGCCGUUCUCAGAUCGGAUUGCAGGCUGCAACUCGCCUGCAUGAAGUCGGAAUCGCUAGUAAUCGCGAAUCAGCAUGUCGCGGUGAAUACGUUCCCGGGCCUUGUACACACCGCCCGUCACACCAUGAGAGUUUGUAACACCCAAAGUCGGUGGGGUAACCUUUUGGAGCCAGCCGCCUAAGGUGGGACAGAUGAUUGGGGUGAAGUCGAAACAAGGUA